rnacentral:tRNA from 2 species
GCGGUCAUGGCGGAAUGGCAGACGCGCCAGCUUGAGGGGCUGGUGGGGGCAACCCCGUGGAAGUUCGAGUCUUCUUGGCCGCAUCA